AUUGAACGCUGGCGGCAGGCCUAACACAUGCAAGUCGAACGGUAACAGGAAGAUGCUUGCUUCUUUGCUGACGAGUGGCGGACGGGUGAGAAAUGUCUGGGAAACUGCCUGAUGGAGGGGGAUAACUACUGGAAACGGUAGCCACUACCGACUAACGUCGCAAGACCAGAAAGGGGGACCUCUGGGCCUCUUGCCAUCGGCUGUGCCCAGAUGGGAUUAGCUAGUAGGUGGGGUAACGGCGCACCUAGGCGACGAUCCCUAGCUGGUCUGAGAGGAUGACCAGCCACACUGGAACUGAGACACGGUCCAGACUCCUACGGGAGGCAGCAGUGGGGAAUAUUGCACAAUGGGCGCAAGCCUGAUGCAGCCAUGCCGCGUGUAUGAAGAAGGCCUUCGGGUUGUAAAGUACUUUCAGCGGGGAGGAAGAGAGUAAAGUUAAUACCUUUGCUCAUUGACGUUACCCGCAGAAGAAGCACCGGCUAACUCCGUG
rnacentral:rRNA from 1 species